GACAGAGGGUGCAAACGUUGUUCGGAUUUACUGGGCGUAAAGCGCGUGUAGGCGGCCUUGCAAGUCGGCUGUGAAAGCCCACGGCUCAACCGUGGAAGUGCAUCCGAAACUGCAUAGCUUGAGUCUCGGAGAGGAAGGUGGAAUGCUUGGUGUAGAGGUGAAAUUCGUAGAUAUCAAGCGGAACACCGGUGGCGAAGGCGGCCUUCUGGACAGUGACUGACGAGGAGACGCGAAAGCGUGGGGAGCAAACAGG
rnacentral:rRNA from 1 species